GUUGAGGGCUGCAGUUGGACUUGCAUCCUCAAAAACUGGGAGGUGCGAAAACUGAUAUUAAAGCCUUGCAAGGUUCCGAUUGGUAUUUUGGGCAAUGAAUGUCUAUGGGACGUCGCAACGGUUGUUAUGAGCUCGAGGGAAGUACCGGGUCGUGACAAAACUACAUGUGUCGUAAAGCCACAGGUGGUGGAAAUUCAUGAGAAACAGAGUGUAGGGGUACAAAUGAGCCAUCUAUAGUUAGUGAUGAGUCAAAUUCUUGUAAUGACAUUGUACAGCCAAAUAUAGUGAGAGUUAAGCAACAAGAGUAACCUUGCACAAAAUCUAAAGUUGGAGAUCUAUUAGAGUGCAUCGACCAUCCUUUAAGAAUCA